CUUUCACUAUGUCAGACAGUCGUCUCACUAUUGUCACUUUUAGAAAAUACCUCAGUCUGACAUUGGCACCAAUGUAGGAUUCAUAUGGCUUCUCAACCUGCAUGAAUUCAAAGUCAUAGCUUCUGCUCUGGGUCAGCUCUCCAGGUAAGGCGAGUUCCUUCACUAAGUUGACAAAUUCAUGCGUAUUGCUCUUGUCAUUGAAGAGCUCAAUUUGUCCUACAAAUUCAAUUCUAAUUCCUUGGUGCUCUAAUCUCUU
rnacentral:lncRNA from 1 species